CCUGUCCUGGUUGGGAAGGAAGUUUCUAAGAUAUGGCAUGCCAAACAAUUAAUAGUUUCAUAUCUGUGAAAGAUUUCCUAGUGCAACUGAGCUCAGUGAGCUGCAUAUUUUAUAAAAAGGACAUAAUUCUACUGAUAAUUAUUUUUCCUGCAAAGAAAUAAGUCAUGUUUUUUUUUUUUGCAAGUAUAGAAGGUGAAACUUAUUGUCAGAACACUGACAUUUACCUCUAUAAAUUUAAGCAGUUCCUGAAGGUCAUGGGAAACAAGUGACAAAGAGAAUGGUUCUGUCUGAAAAUAAAAUGAUCAUAUAAAAGCUCCUUUGGAAUGCUAACAUUCUAUUAAAGCGUAACUAACAUAUUUAAACCAUUAUUGUGCCAUUGUAAAUAUGCUUUUAGAUUUUUAUAUUACAGACAACUUCCUGAACUCUAUUAUUUUGCAAAAUCAAAUCAUUAUUUUGGUGAAAAUAAUGAUAGGUAGGGUUUGUUGGUAGAUGUAUCAGCGAUUGUCUUGCAACUUGAAUGCAGUCAUUGGGAGCCCAGGGUUUUUGUAAUGAAGACUGUCGAUCUAGUCUUUUUGAGACAACCUGUAUGAUGUUGCCACAUUUACAUUGUAAACACUUGAACAUAUAAAUUUCUAAGAUAGCUUAUUCUGGUGUUUUUAGCUGAACUUCUAAUCAUCAAGAGGCCAAGAUUCCAUGGUAAAUGAAAGACGUCAAUAGUAAGGGAAUGUGCCUUCUUACACAUCACUCGGAAUGUUUUACCACAGCGUAAUAUCCUUUUUAUUAUUGAGCAAGCCAAUGAUGUCCAAGCUCAUCGUAAGGCCCAUCUGCCGUUUUAUUCCUUAUCUCUCCAGAAACGAGACAGAUGAUGCAGCAUACUCAGGAUCCACAUUUCCUAAAUGUUUAACAUUGUACAAGCUAAAUGGAACUUUGAUUCAAUGUGUUAAAAGUCAGCUAUUUACAAGACACAUCGAUGGUUACUGCAAAUAAAUAAAGCUGCUAAUUGAUUAUGCAUGCUCAAAAUACCCUUUUAGAGUGUAUCAGAAGUAGAGAGGGCUACCUGGGAGCAUUAUACCUGGAAGGGAGAUUGUACACAAAACUUAGCUCAAGGAGACCAUGUUCCUGGGUUCACUCAAAUGAGUGAAUAUGAUGAAUAUUUAUUGUGCAGCUAUACUGUGCCUAUGUCUAAAUACAGGCUCCGAAUAAUUCAGUGGUCAUUCAACAUGUAAUUAAAAGAGUUGCUGUCACAUACCAGGCAUUGCACUGAGUGUGGGGGACUCAAUAUAGAGCAAUACAGACUCAGUCUUUGCCUCAAGAAGGUACAUUUAGAGGGGAGACUACAAACAUAAACACGGAGAAGGCUCAGGCCAACUGUUUCCAGGUUUAGGUAUCUUCUCUUCCAGACUCUCUUUCCUCUUUUCUCCAUCCAACUGUGCACCCAGGAAGUUGAUCUGUGAGCACAACAUAAUGGACUCCUUUUCUCUGUGGCUGUGUGUUGUACUUGUCCAGCAGUGGCCAAAGACUGAAGGUAGAGAAUAUGAUAUAUUCUGUGCAAUACCAGAAACUGUUGAAAAUGUCGCACAAGAGUUGUCACAGAGGAUGAAGAAGAAUCAGACUCCAGAGCUUGGCAGAUGGACUUAAAUCCCUCCUUGGACAGUAAUCCACUGCAUGGAUCUUUGAGGCUAUGAUUCUAUCCACAACAAAGAAUGGUGUUGGCUACCUUAGGAGUCUGCUACUAGAGCUGGUCUGUGAUCUGUGCCAGAUACUCACCAUCCUCUUUACUUUCACCCUAGAAUGAUCUUGAAAAUAAUUUGCAGUUCUCAACUCAGGAAUGCACUGAAGUGUAUCCACUGUACUUGAGUUUGAAGGAAAAGACACAAGUUGUACAGCUGGAGCCAAGCAUGAGGAGACACACAGUGGAUAAGUGUUAAAAAGCUUUUCUGAUGCUCUGAUGGAGAACUGUCAGAGGGCACAUGAAGCUGGCUCUGAGAGAAUGGAGAUGCUGAGAGGAGCUUCCUGGAGGAACAGAUCGUCAAUGCAGGACACAAUGAAUAUGUUGGCACAGAAAAAAUAAAAUACCUGGAAGGCAGUUGACUCAAGAAAAAGAACCCAGCAUGUUCAAGGGUCUCCAGAAAGCUUAAUAAGGCUGACAGAAAGACAACUGUAGAAAGGGACCAAGAAGGAAGUCUGGUUCAAUUCAUGUAACAUCUUAGAAGAAAUAUUGAAAAUUUUUGACUUCAUCCUGAAGACAAUUGGAAGUUUUUAAAAGACCUUUGUUAGACAGGCUUCAUAACCACAAUUAGGAUUUUAAAGAGAUCCUACCUGCUACUCCUGGGAGAGCAGAUUGGUGACCCAAGAGAGACAGGAGUCCAGUUGGAAGAAUAUCAUAUUUUCAUUGUUCUGUAAUAGACAGGAGAUGAAGCAUGCACUAAAACUCCAGGGAUGGAGAAGGGGGAUUCUAAGAGCAUUUUAGAAGCAGAAUUGGCAGGAUGGGGUGCCUGGUGUACGAGGUCAUAAAGGCAGGGAGGGAUCAGGAUGAAUACACAUUCUUGCAAAUGCAUGUAAGGAACAGAGGAGGGGCGAGCAUUAUUUGGGAAAGCAGAGUUUUAGAUGCUUUUGAAUUUGAGAAAUUCAAACAGAGAGAUUCUGAUCUCUAUGUGAGGACUCGUACAUAGAUUUGGGCUUGAGAAAUGCACAGCAAUGGUAAGUAGGAGGAUAUUAAUGAUUGCUUAGAAACAGAGUGUGCAGAGGCCGGAUGGAGCCCCAGAGAACUCCAGCAUUUCACUGCUAUUUGGAGGAGUAUGACCUAGUAAUGAAGAUUAGCUUGAGCAGAGAGAUAGAAAAGAAAAAUCAAAUGUAGAUGUGUCCGUAAUGCCAAAGUAAAUGAUUGUUUCAAGAAAAAAAUGCAGACCCUUUCGAAUGGGGCUAUGAGAUAAAAUGAAAUGAGGGUUUUAAAGAUGAUAUUAGCAUUGUUUGCUUUGGAAAGAACGCUUCUUAGUAAUAUUUAAGUUAUCAGUGACUUGGCAAAAGCUGUUAGUACAAUGGUAGGAAGAGAUGGCUAAAAGGAGGAAGGGAAGUGAGAAAUGAUAAAUAUGGAUAAUUGUGGAAUUUGACAGUAGAAAGUAAAACAUUAGUAGAAGUAGAAGAAGAGUGAUGUUUGAAGCUGAACAUGCAUACAUACAUAUACACACACACACACCUGUGCACUUAAAAAGAAUAGAUGCACAUAGUUUGCUGAUGAUGGGGUAAAGAGAAAACUAAACAUGCUUAGUUCCUACUGAGGUUUUCAAAAUGAAAGAAAGAAUCAGGUAUUGGAGUGGAAUAUUUUUGUAGGUUUUAAGACUAAGAAUUGAGGCAAAUUUCAUCUGUUGACUUCUGUUUUUCUGUGAAUUCAGGGGAUUACUUGAGGUUUUCUGCUGAGAUAGAGCAAAGAGUUUCAUAAGCAAAAUCUAUUAUUUCCUACAUGUAUCUUUCUAUGUUCCCAUCAACCAAGAGAAUCAAUACUUCUCUUAUAUCCCCAGUUCUUCACGGCCAAAUCUCAAGGCUCCCCCUAUAAGCAGACACCAAUGCUAAGCCCUUGUGAUGAUGGAAGCCAUUAUUAUGUAUUUCUCGCUAAAACCUGAGAUGGUUUUCUGUUAUCAUUGUCCAUGUUCUCUAUCCUGGAUGAGCUCUGAUUUGCACUAGCUCUUCCUGACUCAUGGUUUGGGGCUAAUGCAGAUCUGGGAUGGUUCUAUAUUUGUGUUCAUUGCUCUUGCCUAGUUGCUUUAUCUGGUUAUGAUCAUGAGAAUUAGGUGAGAAAGAACACCUUUCCCUCUUCAUUUCUAUAUAAUAUUAUCCCCGUUUUUUCUUUUAUCUUUUUUUUUUCCUUUGCAUCAUCUAAAAAGUGUAAGGAGAAGAAAAGAAACUUGUGUGGGUAGGCCAAUGAGCAAGUAAAUCACUUUUGGUGUCUUAGAAAUUUUCAGUAUAUGGUGAUUCUACCAACAAAUGCCACAAUUGCCUUAAACCUAUCACUCAUAUGAUAAAAAGGAAAAUGUAUGAUAUUUCAAUAGUAUAUCCAAAUGGGGACAUUUCCCUUCCUUUCUAAUAAGUAUACUGUGUUCUAAUAGAAAGUCCAUUAUUUCUCAUUAAUGAGCCAAUUAGAAAAUUAUUGCUGGGUUGCAUAGACAAGAGGAACAGUCCUGACCGAUAAUGGCAGGGAGGAAAACCAGGAAAUAUCCUCUCUUUUUGUUCCUACUGUUAAUCUUAGAAUAGUGUUUGUUGUCCAUUCAAAUUCUUGAGUUUAUAAUCCAUGUUAUUUAGUAAUUUCAAUUACUCACAAUAAGAAACAUAAGAAAUGUAUAGCGUAAAGAUUCUUUGUAAUAGAAGAAUUUCAGCUUAGAAAUGUUCACAGAAUGAUAUGUUAGAGAAAUUACAGUUUUAUAACUCCUAAUCAGGCAGAAGAGUGGUCUUUGAGAAUCAUGUUUGCUUAUUUCCAGAAAUAGGGGAUGAAUCAUGAUAUAUGGAGCAAUGUCUACAUAGGAAGUAUAUGGAAUUCUUUCCUUUACAAGAAUUUACAUAGUGAAGUAUUAAUUGCAUUAGGAAUGGAUGCUUAAUCUAAAAAAUAAACCAUUAUAUGAAACAGAAAAAAAUAAAGAAAAAAAUUCAAGAAGUGAUAGACUAUUUCAAUAAGGAGAUAGAGAUCCUGAAGAAAAAUGAGUCAGAAAUCUUCAAAAUGAAGGAAUUUAUAAACCAAAUUAAAAAUUCAAUGGAAAGCAUCACCAACAUACUAGACCACUUGACAGAUGGAGAUUCAGGCAAUGAAGACCUUGUCCCUCUCUUGAAAGGUAUUCGCUUCUGAGUCUCAGGACUUGGUUUCAUGGUAAUUGGGUCUCCCUGUGUCUCCAGAGGCUUGGAGGGUAAUGCUUCACCCUGGCUAGGGGCAACACUUUACUCUUCACCCAGCCCAUCUGUCUUUCUGUGACCCUCCUCCUGCUCCUCACCCACCAUGAUUCCUCUGGCUGCACCUGGGCCCUCUCCUCUAUUUUCUUUAGUCCAGGGAAAGGGAGGUGACUGGGUAUCAUACAUUCUACAGCUUGGAAUACCUGUUCAGGACUGGACCUCCAUAAAUGGGAUCCUUGUGAAUCUGGUAUCUUUGAAGAAGUAGACUGGAUGAGCCAAUUUAGGUGCCAGUGCCAAGAGAUGGGUCAUAACUCAAAAGGUAAAGACACAUUUGUCAAGAUCACUGGGAGAAGAGGUUGAAAAUUUACCCUCUCCCUACCAGCAUGUGCAUAUGUCCAUGAGAGAUGGCACUCUGCUUGGUAAAACUGGGGAAUACGUAUAGGAAGAAAGUUAAAGAAAUUACAAUAGAAUAGCUAUUUGGGAUUUGGGACACUGGUGCUGAAGAUAUACUCUUAUUAGAGUAAAAUGAGGAAGAGCACAUUAGUCACCACAUACUCUACAUUACAACAAUGUAUAUAUGUAGCUGUAAAUGUGGAAAAUGAGGACACUGCCAUCUCUUUAUUGUCCUGGCUGAUAGCUUCCUUAAAUUAUGAUUGGCACAAUAUGUUGAAGUCAUCCAUGGUACCCUGUGUUGGAAGUCCAUGGGAGAACUCCAAGACCUUCUGAGGGAGUUACGGUGCUGCAGGCCCUUAAUGCAGCAAUCUGCACUGGUCCUAAUAAUGAACCAUUCACAGGAGAACUGAAGGACCAUUCUCCAAGCAUUUAUGAGGCAGUAUCAUGGAAGCCUGGGAUCAUUCCUGAUCUGUUAAUUGGCAUUUGAUUUUUCUCAAGCCACACAGGUUAUGGCUGUAUGGGAUAAACUAAAAAGAUGAGAAAGUGAGGUUACAGAGAAUAUAUCUUAGAAGGGGGAGAACUAAAGGGGAAAGAAAAUACCAGAGGUCAAAUGAGGAAAAGCAAGGACAAUAUGCCUUUGUGUUGGGAGGGCAACAAUGGUCUUUGUUCUUUCACAAGGAUAUUUGCCUAGUCUACCCUAUGUUAUGGGAUGGUGUUGGCACCUCUGAGCUGGACAUAACCUGAAUAAGUACCAAUGUUUUAUUAUUGUAUUGAUGAUGUGGUUUUAACAUCUGUGUCUUUACUUCACCUGAGCUGAGACUGCAGCUCAAAGAGUGUUGGCAACCUCCAAGAUGGACGAUGGGGUGUAAACUCCUCCAAGUUGCAAAGACCUGGGGUGUCUCUCAGGUGCUCAGGGGUUAUUUGGUUGUGUCCUGCUGUUGCUCAUAAAAAGAAAAUUUUUCCCAAUUCCCAGACACAGACCUUUCUGGAUGUUGAGAUGUUUUCAUCACUGUACUCCAUAAUUUAGGAUUAAUGUUAAAGACUUUGUAUGUUUUAGUAAAAGGUUGGCCUGGUGGGACUGGAAAUUGGAACAUCUCAAGUACUUCUCUGAACAAAAGUCAUUGUAGAGGAAUUACAAGCCUUGGGUAUAUUAGCCCAAGCACACACCUAUAAAUAUAUUUCCCUGCCCUGAUGGGUUGAAUGGGUCCUUAGGAAAUAUCAGGGCAAUAAAUGAGUUCAACUCUGACAUCCUUGGAAGAGGCAAAGAUAAUGAAAGACAUUUGGGAUCAAUCACCACAUUGGAACAGACUGUGCUUUCCUUUGGGAAGAGCAACAAUGGACUUUGUUCUUCCACAUGGUAUUUACAUAGCUUGAUAAUAGGUUAUGGGAUGGCGGACAAAACCAUAGGAGCUGCCAGAGGGAACCAAUUGAGUCUAUUGGCCAUGGGAAUGGCAAAAGGGCCUCAAUGAAGUGGGUUGCUAGUCCAUGGGCAAAAAGACUAGACCAAGACAUACAAAUAGGAAAAAAAACAAACAAACCUACCAGUAGAGAAUUUUUCAUCGCUGCGUGAGUUUCUCAUUUCAUUAUGGUCUAUAACUUCAUUGUUGUCAUACUUUUCUUUGCACAAGGACAUCUUGAACAAGAAAUAUGGUAUUGUAAAUGUGGUGAUGGGACACAGGCUGGUACUAUUCUCACUUAGAUUGAUCAGGUUGCUUAUGUGUUGCUGAAUAAUCCAAUUUCACUCCUGUUGCAUAUUACCCUUAGAGCUAAGGUAUUUAUAUAACAGACAAAUAUCAUAAUAGAUGUGCAGAAUAAAAUGAUUCCUGGUUGUACAUUGAGGUGCCUCUGUCCUCCUCUUCUCAUCUCCUGUGGCAUCUUCAGUCAGCCACGUUAGUGUAGAGGGAGCAAAUGUGAAAACUGGAGCCACAGCUGCAGCUCAUGGACACAGCUGGAUAACUGCCCUAUGGAAUUGAACAUAAAUGUAUCUUCCUUUAAGGAAACCAAAUAGCAUGACUUCCAUUAUAUGUGGAAAUAAAUAAUUAUGACAAAGCAAAAAAAAAAAAAAAAAAAAAAAGGAUCAUGUUUGAUUUGUCCCAACUCCCCAUAGCCUGUGAUUUCUGCAGAAUCUCAGUGUCAGUCAGAACCUGCUUUUUGGAGUGAACCAAUGUGCUCAAUUCUGGGGUCAUCACUUUCUGGCAAUGUGACCACAGCUAGUUGCAUAAUCUCCUUAAGUUUCAAGUUUAUUCUCUGUUAAAUGGUGACAUUAGUAGUGUUUGUCUCUAAGGAUCAAAUGUUAUAAGACAUAAAGUGUUUAAUUUUCAUUAAAAAUCAUAAUUGCUAUUCUGCAAGAGAUACUGAUUUAACAUUCAUUUUGGAAUAGACAUGGUUCUCGUGACUAGAAGCAAAAAUGUGUGCAGGACUCCCAGCUUUGUGAAGCUUAUGUUCCAAUGGGGAAACAGACCAAAUAUAGUGCAGAGGCCAAUGAUUACAAGUCUUAAUAAAUGCCCAAGGAAAGUAUCUGUCCAUUAGAGUAGAAUAAUCAUGGAAGGCAUCUCUGAGAAGGUGACAUUUAAACAAUGAAAAAUGAAGAGUCUCGUGUGGGAGAGGGAGCAUUUGUAUGAGAGUCUGGGAAGAGCUUUGUCUUAUUUGCAGAAUCCAUGGGAACAAAGCCAGCAGUGUGUCACCAGAGAGGCAGGAAAUGAGCCCAGGUGACAGGAAAAGCCAGAUCCUAAUGUUACAGACCAGGGUUAGAAAUGUGGAUUUUGUUCCAAGUGCAGUAGGAAAUCAUUACUGGGCUUUGACAUAGACAAGUGAUCUCAAUGUGGGUUCUAAGUAUUCGUUGAAUGCUGCAUGGAUUCUAAAUGGGCAGGAGCGGAGGGUACAUGGUUGGAAGGCUGUUGUUCCAGGAAAAGCAAGAUCGGUGGUGGUUGAAGGUGGUGUGAAUGAAGUCAGAGAGAACAUGGGCUCAGGAUGCAGUUCUGAUGAUAUAAAAAGGGCUUGAUGGUAAUUAGUGCUAAGAAAGGGGAGUGGAGGUUGCAGAAUCACGACUUCCCUCCGGGCUUCUGGCAGGUUCAUGGGGUGGGAUGAUCCCACCAUAUUCAGAGAUGCAGAGAAGACAGGAGGGGAAGUAGGGCAGGACUGAGAAAAAAAAAAAAAACCUAAUUAGCAGUUCUUUUUAGGACUUGCUGAAUUUGAGAUGCUCAUGAGUGAGAAUAAAUGGAUGUUAUUAUUAUUUAUAAUAAUAUUGAUAGUAUGGGACUAUUUUUCCUGGAGCAUUUCUUUGGGAAUUCUUCUUUGAAAACCUGAGAUAAUCAUCAGCUACUAUUCAAAGACUUGGAAUUCUAUUUUGGUUAAAAGUUUCAUCACAAGUUCAGUGUGUUAAACAGUUUUGGAAUAUGUCAACUUUUGAAAAUCGCGGCUUCAGAAAACAUAAAAAUGGAAAACUAUGAAUGUGAAACUGAGUAGGACAAUUAAAUGGAGAGCUCACUUGCAGUCAAUAAAAUAGUGCAAUUUUGAAAGCCAACGGUAGCUCAUCAGUUUUUAUCUUAAUCACAUAAGAGGAUGAUAUGCCACACUAAAAUUGAGUUAAUGUAAUUGUAUUAGUUUCCAAAUUUGUUUAAUAGCAACACUUCAGAAGAAGCAAGUGGUAUAAUACCUUUCUCUCAGGCCCUGAAUCAUUUGCUCUAAACCAGUAUAAAAAUGGGUAUUAAUUCACAUUGUGGCUUAAAAAUGUAGCUACAAAACUCAAAAUUAAAUGAUUGAAAAUUAUUGUUUCCUCAGCAAUUACAGAUCACCUGUGUUAAGCUGACAUUUCCAGUGUGAUUAGGCUAGAAUAUGGUUAUCACAAGACUGAAGUGAUAUCUGGAAAAAUUUUUUCUUGAGAACUAGAUUUAUUUUUUUUUGUGUGUGUGCGAGGGUAGUACUGGGGAUUGAAGUCAAGGGCACUCAACCACUGAGCCACAUCCCCAGUCCUAUUUUGUAUUUUAUUUAGAGACAGGGUCUCACCAAGUUGCUUAGCAUCUGGCUGUUGCUGAAGCUGGCUUUGAACUUGAAACCUCCUGCCUCAGCUUCCCAAGCCAUUGGGAUUACAGGCAUAUGCCAGGCGCUGGCUGAGAACUGGAUGUUUUGAAGGUUUGCAUUUUUUUUUUCUAUUUGAAUUCUGCAAGGUGUUGAAUUUUCUUGUCACUUUUCCAAUAAAGAUAUAAAUAAAACUGAAACAUACUAUUUAACUAUGUGGAUUACCUGCAUGUGUUAUCAAGUAACUCAUAGCCCUAUGUAAUGUUGAAUGAUCAAACUCUCCGUUUGAGAAAUAAUAACUUCACAUACAAUGACUUAUUGUUUCUACCAGAGUGUGAGCCUUAUAUGAGAAACUCACUAAGUACUUUUAAAAUUAAAUUUACCUGAAUCUGGUCGUCUGUAAGUAGGGUGGCUAUUUAUUACAGUUGUGUAGAAUUGAGGGAGAUUUGGGGAUUUCAGCUUUAUAAUUGGCACAUUCUUGGGCAAAAUGGGAUAGGUUUUUUUUUUUUUUCCUUUCUCUAAAGUGAGUCUGCUUUAAUUAUUGAUUCUUCAGCGGCAAAGUUUUGUCUUGACAUAUUUUCUUGAUGUAUUUUUUAAAUUUGUAAGACUCCCUAAAAAUCAUUUUAAAAUUUAAUAUGUUGAUUUGGGGACUUUAAAAAAUAAAUUUUUUAAAGCUCUGUUUUUUUUUUGUUCUUUUUACAGUAUUUUUCAAGCCAGGCUGAGUCUUAUACUUUUUACAUGAUUGGAAUCUCAGAAUGAUUCCCACAGUAGACACUUUAUAUGUUGACUUAACAGAAUGGUUAUUUGUCAAGAAAAUAAAAAGAGACAGCAAUAAUCCGAGAAUAAGGGUUACUUUUCUUUUCUUGCAGACCCAAUUUGCAAGUUUACAUGAAAACAGGAAAUUACUGUAAUGUAUGCUUUGUAAAAUGGACUUGAGAAGAAAAAUGUGUGAGUAAUGUUUAGUUCCAAGUCUAAACUUAGACAGAAAUUUAUAUGAUCCAAAUGCAAUAACUUGGUAAUAAAGGUAUUAAUCAGAGUAAAGUUGUGUUGCAGCAGGAAAGCCUUAUUUUAAGCCCAUCAUUUCCAUUUUUUUCUCAUAAAUAACUAUUCUUUACUGUAUUCUUCAAUGUUUAACUGAAGUAUCAGACUUGUAGUUUUUAAUGAAACCCAAAUUAAAGAAAACAU